UACGUAGGGGCCUAGCGUUGUCCGGAAUUAUUGGGCGUAAAGCGCGUGUAGGCGGCCUUGCAAGUCGGGUGUGAAAGCCCUCAGCUCAACUGAGGAAGCGCGCCCGAAACUGCAGAGCUUGAGUACCGGAGAGGAUGGCGGAAUUCCCCAAGUAGAGGUGAAAUUCGUAGAUAUGGGGAGGAACACCGGUGGCGAAGGCGGCCAUCUGGACGGAUACUGACGCUGAGACGCGAAAGCGUGGGGAGCAAACAGG
rnacentral:rRNA from 1 species